rnacentral:ncRNA from 13 species
CCAACGGCCCUCUUUAGGGCCACAAAUCAAUAAUCCUAAAAUUUUU